rnacentral:rRNA from 1 species
UACGUAGGGUGCGAGCGUUAAUCGGAAUUACUGGGCGUAAAGCGUGCGCAGGCGGUUUUGUAAGUCAGACGUGAAAUCCCCCGGCUUAACCUGGGAACUGCGUCUGAUACUGGGAGGCUUGAGUAUGGGAGAGGGAUGUAGAAUUCCAGGUGUAGCGGUGAAAUGCGUAGAUAUCUGGAGGAAUACCGGUGGCGAAGGCAGCCUCCUGGGCCAGCACUGACGCUCAUGCACGAAAGCGUGGGGAGCAAACAGG